UAAUAAUUGAUACAAUGCAAUAACUCGAUCGACGACGCAUUUUAGACUCCAAAUCCAAACCAAAAUAAAUGUAAAAAUCAUAUCUCUAA